UACGGAGGGUGCGAGCGUUGUCCGGAAUUACUGGGCGUAAAGCGUGCGCAGGCGGCGCGUUAAGACAGGUGUGAAAGCCCCGAGCUUAACUUGGGAAUUGCGCUUGUGACUGGCGGGCUUGAGUAUGGCAGAGGGGGGUGGAAUUCCGCGUGUAGCAGUGAAAUGCGUAGAGAUGCGGAGGAACACCGAUGGCGAAGGCAGCCCCCUGGGCCAAUACUGACGCUCAGGCACGAAAGCGUGGGGAGCAAACAGG
rnacentral:rRNA from 1 species